UACUUGCCAGUCUCCUCAUAAAGCUGACGGCAUUCGCGCCACUGAUGAGGUCUCGCGAGACCCUGCCAGCGGCAGCAGACGCAGAUUGACUGUGCCCGGUUUACUGUGGAUGAGCUUAGAGACGACGUUUCAAGGUGACACGCCGUGUUCAGACCUCUCAAAUCUCAUGUGUUCACUGAUGCACAGGAUAACUGGAUUCCAUCUAUUCAAAAUGGCAGAGGAUCCCUGGAACUCUUCUGUGCUUCACAACAGUUAUAAAGCAUUCUCCUAAUGUACAUUUGAUGGUUUUUGCUUCAUAAAAUGGAGCUGAUCUGGAGACUGGAAUAAUGCCAAAAAAGAAAGAAAGAAAGAAAGAAAGAAAGAAAGAAAGAAAGAAAGAAAGAAAGAAA